rnacentral:rRNA from 1 species
GAUGAACGCUGGCGGCGUGCCUAAUACAUGCCAGUCGAGCGAACGGACGAGAAGCUUGCUUCUCUGAUGUUAGCGGCGGACGGGUGAGUAACACGUGGAUAACCUACCUAUAAGACUGGGAUAACUUCGGGAAACCGGAGCUAAUACCGGAUGAUAUUUUGAACCGCAUGGUUCAAAAGUGAAAGACGGUCUUGCUGUCACUUAUAGAUGGAUCCGCGCUGCAUUAGCUAGUUGGUAAGGUAACGGCUUACCAAGGCAACGAUGCAUAGCCGACCUGAGAGGGUGAUCGGCCACACUGGAACUGAGACACGGUCCAGACUCCUACGGGAGGCAGCAGUAGGGAAUCUUCCGCAAUGGGCGAAAGCCUGACGGAGCAACGCCGCGUGAGUGAUGAAGGUCUUCGGAUCGUAAAACUCUGUUAUUAGGGAAGAACAUAUGUGUAAGUAACUGUGAACAUCUUGACGGUACCUAAUCAGAAAGCCACGGCUAACUACGUG